GGGGAUGUGGUGGAAUUGGCAGACACGUAGCGUUCAGGGCGCUAUGGCCUCACGGCCGUGAGAGUUCAACUCUCUCCAUCCCCA
rnacentral:tRNA from 1 species